rnacentral:rRNA from 1 species
UACGUAGGGUGCAAGCGUUGUCCGGAAUCAUUGGGCGUAAAGCGCGUGGUAGGCGGUUCAGUAAGUCCGCUCUGAAAGCCCAGGGCUCAACCCUGGGAGGCGGGUGGAUACUACUGAACUAGAGUACGGAAGAGGAGAUUGGAAUUCCUGGUGUAGCGGUGAAAUGCGCAGAUAUCAGGAGGAACACCAACAGCGAAGGCAGAUCUCUGGGACGUAACUGACGCUGAGACGCGAAAGCGUGGGGAGCAAACAGG